UUUUCGUAGGUGAACCUGCGGAAGGAUCAUUAUUGAAGCAUAAGAGCGCACUUCAUCGUGGCUCGACCCUUCAUAUCCACCCACACUGUGCACUGUAAUACCUUUUUUAGACUCUACAAGUCAAAGAAUGUACCACUUUAAAUAAAGUAACAAAACUUUCAACAACGGAUCUCUUGGUUCUCGCAUCGAUGAAGAACGCAGC
rnacentral:misc_RNA from 1 species